CCCUUAGAUGUUCUGGGCCGCACGCGUGCUACACUGAGUGGAUCAGCGGGUCAGGUUGCGCGAAAGUGUUUCCUAAUCUUGAAAUCCGCUCGUGAUGGGGAUUGACGGUUGCAAUUUUCCGUCAUGAACGAGGAAUACCUUGUAAGCGCGGGUCAUCGUCCCGCGCUGAAUACGUCCCUGCCCUUUGUACACACCGCCCGUCGCUCCUACCGAUUGAGUGGUCCGGUGAGGCUUUGGGAUCUGAGCAAAGAGAGCGUUUCGCUCGUUUUGCCCGGAAAACUCAGUCGAACCUUAUCAUUUAGAGGAAGGAGAAGUCGUAACA
rnacentral:rRNA from 1 species